rnacentral:lncRNA from 1 species
UCCCCCAUCACCAACACCAUCCAAGGAACACCCUUACCCAUACAAGUCUCCACCACCACCACCUCCUCAUGUUUACUACUAUAAAUCACCACCACCACCACCACCACCUCAUCAUGUCUACAAGUAUAAGUCACCACCACCACCUCCUUACCACUAUGUAUCACCACCUCCACCUCACCAUGCCUACAAGUAUAAGUCUCCUCCACCACCUCCUUACCACUAUGUAUCACCACCUCCUCCUCAUCAUGCCUACAAGUAUAAAUCUCCACCACCACCCCCUUACCACUAUGUAUCACCACCCCCACCUCAUCAUGUCUACAAGUAUAAAUCUCCACCACCCCCUCAUUACCACCCUGCUCCUGGUUACAAAUACAAGUCACCACCUCCCCCUCAUCAUGUUUACAAGUAUAAAUCCCCACCACCCCCUCGUUACCACCCUGCUCCUGGCUACAAAUACAAGUCACCACCUCCCCCUCAUCAUGCUUACAAGUAUAAAUCCCCACCACCGCCUCAUUACCACCCUGCUCCUGGUUACAAAUACAAGUCACCACCGCCCCCUCAUCAUGUUUACAAGUAUAAAUCUCCACCACCCCCUCAUUACCACCCUGCUCCUGGUUACAAAUACAAGUCACCACCGCCCCCUCAUCAUGUUUACAAGUAUAAGUCUCCACCACCCCCUCCUUACCACUACAAAUCACCACCUCCUCCUCAUCAUGUCUACAAGUACAAAUCUCCACCACCCCCCACCAUCAAAAGCCACCUUGUCCUCCCCCAUCUGUCUAUAAAUAUAAAUCACCACCACCCCCUCCCUACCAUUACAAAUCACCACCCCCACCCCCUCCUGUAUACAAGUAUAAAUCACCACCGCCACCUCCCUACCACUACAAGUCACCACCACCUCCCCAUCCAGUCUACAAGUACAAGUCUCCUC